GGGACUGGGGGGGGCGGGGAGGGGGGGCAGGCCAGCCGCCCAGGGCCAGGGGGUAGGGGGAGCUCUCCCUCCCGCCAGGAGGAGGCCGCUGCUGCUGGCGCUCUCCCCGCGAGGCCAGGCCUUGCAAGGGAAGCAGAAAUCUGUCGUUAACACAGUGCCAAACCCAAAGUGGCUGGUCCCGAACUGCAAUCCAAUAAAAGUGCGACUUGUCUAUUUAUCAUCCUCGGGGCUUUUUAUCACGGUGCAGAUGGCUGCUACCUUUGGAAGGCUCAGCAGCUCACUGCCAGCCGCCCGCCACGCAAAGCUUAGCUCAACAGAAUCUGGGCCUGCACCUGUGCAGGGCCGCGAGCGGGGGCCCCCCCGGGCACGCGGGGUCCCGUGUCCCUCUCCCGCUCAGCGCUCACGCGCUGCCCCCGCGCCCGGCCCCCUCCCGCGGAGCUGGUGGCCCCCUCCACGGUGCUCACAGCCGCGCCCACCACACCCGGUGCGGAGCCCCCAAUGACCCGAGGAGGCAGGUGCUCCCCGGAGCGGAGAGAGCCCCGCGGGGGAGCGGAGGGCCGGGUGCGAACGCGCGGCCCAGGCGGCUCAGAGCAAGGGGCCCCGUGGGGCGCCCACGGCGAUGCAGGCGGGAAGAUAAAGCCAGGGAAGAUCAAGGGCCAGGCGUGCGGAAAAGACGGCACCGUGCAGCCUCCUGGCGUGCAGGGAGUGGGGGGGGUGGGGGAGCCCCAGGAAUCAGGAGCCGCCCCAGACCCCUGCAGGCUGACGUCCGGCGGGGCCUCCGGAGACCGGGUCCCGGAAAGAAAGCCCGCGGGAGGGACGCAGGUAUCGACACCCACGCGGAGGCCGGGGCGACAGGGAGGGGCGGGAGGUCCCCCUGGCUGGACGGGAGGUCGGGCCUGAGGCCGGGUGCCUUCCACAGUCCUUCCAGCUGCCACAGGUUUAUGUCGAGAAGCCAGCUUUUCCACCAGCCCGGGGCCCCAGCUGCAGCGCGCGUGCGUGCCCGUGCGCGUUCACGCGCGUGUCUCCGCACAUGACCCGUCUCCGUGUGCGCACGUACGUGUCUGCGUGCGUGUGUGCAUAUCGGUCUCUGUGUGCACAAUCUCUGUACAUGUGUGUGUGUGCACACGUGUGUGUAGGGGCUGAAAGUUUUGCCCCACCCCCACCCCGCAGCCUGCAGAGGUCCAGGGGCCACCGUGGCACUGUGAGCCAUGACCUUUGCCCUUUGGGCUGCGGCCCAGGAAACAGAGCAACGACCAGAACACCCUGCCACCCCAGGUCCUCCCGGCUGGCCCGGUGUCUGCUCUCCAAGGAAACCAGACUCACCAGGCCUCCUACAGCACGCACCUUAGGGAUGCUGCCGGACCGGACGAGGGGCUGCAUCUGGAAAAGGCACUGAGCAUCCUUCCAGGCGUCUCUGUGGUCUCCCCUACGGGGUUCAGGGCUCCGGCCUUCCCAAAGUCCUUUCCAGCCACCUCGGGAGACCUAGGCCCUUCCGGUUGCCUGGAACGCCCCUCCCUGCCGCCCCGAACCGGCCUGCCCCGCUUCCAGAUAGGCGCUCCAAGCCUCUGUGUCAUUUCUGGGUGCCACAAGGCACACAGGUGGGCGCAGCCACCCCCGUGGCAGAAGCUGUGGCUCAGAGAGGCUGGGAACCGCCACAAGGUCACCCGGCUGCACACUUUUUCGCCGGGCUGGUUCGCAGCACUGGGGCUCCUACCGCCCCAGCCUCUCCCGUGGUCACAAAACGGGGGCCGGGAGGGCAGCUGCGCUCGGCCCGGCUACAUUGUUAACACUCGCCUCCUCGUCCGUCCUACACCUCUGUCUGUAGCUUUGUUCUUUUUUUUUGCCAGGGUGCUUCAGUUUGUGCCCAUCGUAACAACACCUAACUCCGACGUAAACGUUACCUCGGGCCGGACCCAGAUCUAAGUACACACACUUCCUCCUUCGAUAGUCCUCUCCCCCACCAUCUUUAUGUUUCAGAUCGGAAAGCAGCACAGAGAGGUCAAGAAACGGACCGCAGGUCACACAGCUGGGGCCAGGACUGGGACCCGUGUGACGCGCCCCAGGCCAUGGCUUGGCCGAGAGCUACACAGUCCUCAUUGACCAUCUGCAGCAUGGUCUGGUCACAGCAGACCGGACUGUCUUUGCGCAGGACAGCGGGGACCGGAGAGUUCCAGGCUCUGGCUGCAGCUUUCCCCUGGUGGAGUGGGGACAGGUAAUAAGGAGCCCCUUUUCACCUCAGCCUGCUGGGGGCCACACCGGGAGACCUGUCCUUGGCCCCCAGGGUGGAAGCUGGACCUCCCCUCUUCGAGAGAUGUCAAGUCUUCUCAGCGGGCAGGGUGGCCGCCCCCGGGCCCCUCAUGUGGCAGGCAGCAGCAGGCGGAGAAGGGAAUGGGGGCCACGCAGGGUUGAAUAGCGUCCCCCCCCAAAUUACAUCCACGUGGAACCUCAGAAGGGGACUUUAUUUGGAGAUACGGUCUUUGCAGAUGGGUCUGGAGACGCGAUCGCCCUGGAUUUAGGGCGAGCCCUGAUGGGAGAACAGACACCCCUCUCCUGAAAUUCUGGACGAAUCCUUGGCUACACACAGCCAGCCUCAGUUUACCUCCACAGUCAGGUUCAACCUCCUGCUUCCUAACGCACCGGCGGCUCUGAACUGGCCAAUGAGUCCAUCACAACACCCUUUAUGCAUUCGCUCAACAAACAUUUAUCAACCAUCUACUGCGCACGUGCACCGGGUUCUUCCGGGCCCCAGAGAAUAUGGCAGAAGGCCUGCCUGCAUGGGGCUGAUGCUGAGCUGGGGGAGCCAGAAAGUAAACAACCAGACAAUUAAGCGACACAACUUCAGCAACCAAAGACUCUCUAGGGGAAAGGGAGCACCAGACUAUUAGAACGGUGGGGAAACUGAGGCCAGACGGAGUCCCGGACGGCAGGCAUCACCAAACAACAUCCACUCAACAUCCGUCCAACAUCAACCAUCCAUCCGUCCGUCCAUCCAACAUCCACCCAAGGAACCCAGGGGUUGAGAUCAGACAGACCUGAGCGCGAUCAAAUCACAGUCCUCCGUUUAUGUCUGGUGACCUGUCCCAGGUGACUUGGCCUCCCACAGCCUCAGUUUCCUUGUCUGUAAAAUGGGCCUAAGGGCUGCCUCAUUCAGGUUUUGGGAGACUAAAUGAAAAGGAAAUGGCGCCUAUAGGCGAAGCCGGGGGUGUAUUUAACCCACACGGGCCCGAUUACUUCCUGCCCUCUUGCAGUUCAUGCUCAGUAACAGCAUCUGCCUGGGUCGAUACCGGAGUCUGAGCUCUGAAUCCCCCAGAAUCUCCAGGCCCCCUUCCAAUGUCCCCAGAAGAGUCUCUGGGAGAGGGAGAUUUAUCACCACCUAGGCCCCAAAGGACACCUGAAAAAGCACAAGGUAAACAAUGAGGACCUUCGAGGGCGCCUGGCUGGCUCAGUUGGUAGAGCCCGUGACUCUCAAUCUCAGGGUCAAGAGUUCAAGCCCUGUGUUGGGCACGGAGCCUACUAGAAAGAAACAAAAACAAGAGGCCCUUCCAUGCACAGGGUGACGACUCCGGACUUCCAGGCUCAAUCUCCAGUGAGACAGCCCCGACUCUGUCGCUCUGUGUCUGGGGCCUGCUGCUUAAACGGUCCCAGCCUCAGUUUCCCCGUCUACAGCGUCGCAGACAAUGCCUGUAAAACACCCAACACAUACGUGUCCCUCGAUGAACAACUACGAUCCUUAGAAACGGGCAGAGAAGGGAUCUGGGGGCCGUGGCCGUGCACAGAAGGGGUAACCGCAGAGGUGGCGUGGCGCCCGCCACUGUAAGCGAGGUACGCGACAACACGCGUGUGCACGCGCCCCAGCACACGGACACGAGGGCGAGGCCUGCGCGGGGCGUGCUCGCGUGCCAACCACCGCCUGAGACGCGCGGCUCGGGCGCCAGGAGGCUGCGAGACGGCGGAGGGCGCGGUCAGCGGGCCACACCCGGCCGAAGCGGUCUCUACCCACGGGAGGUGAGCGCAGCUGAGCAUUCCUACCUCAAGGGCGAUUUCCCUUCGCUGGGCCCCACUGGUGAUGUCACGGGUGGUGGAAGGGCCAUGGGCAGGCGACCCUGCCCCCCGCCUCCCCUCUCUGGGCGCGCUCCCGCGCCAGCCAAUGGCAGAAUGUUCUGGAAGCACUGCAAUCCAUUCUGCAUGCUCAGAACCUAAUCUUAUGACACUCUAAGGGCUUUAUUAAUAGCCUAUUAGUGGGUAAUUCAUGCAUUUUGAUGAGAAAUCAUCUAGUGGUCGUUUA